rnacentral:rRNA from 1 species
GAUGAACGCUGGCGGCGUGCUUAACACAUGCAAGUCGAACGAGAAUCAACGGAUUGAGGAUUCGUCCAAAUGAAGUUGAGGAAAGUGGCGGACGGGUGAGUAACGCGUGAGGAACCUGCCUCGGAGUGGGGAAUAACAGUUGGAAACAGCUGCUAAUACCGCAUAAUGCAACGGAAUCGCAUGACUCUGUUGCCAAAGAUUUAUCGCUCUGAGAUGGCCUCGCGUCUGAUUAGCUUGUUGGUGGGGUGAUGGCCUACCAAGGCGUCGACGGGUAGCCGGCCUGAGAGGGUGACCGGCCACAUUGGGACUGAGAUACGGCCCAG